UGGGGAAUUUUGCACAAUGGGGGAAACCCUGAUGCAGCGACGCCGCGUGAUUUAGAAGGCCUUCGGGUUGUAAAAAUCUUUUCUAUGGGAAGAAAAUGACAGUACCAUAGGAAUAAGGACCGGCUAAUUACGUGCCAGCAGCCGCGGUAAUACGUAAGGUCCGAGCGUUGUCCGGUAUCAUUGGGCGUAAAGGGUACGUAGGCGGGUAAGCAAGUUAGAAGUGAAAUCCUAUAGCUCAACUAUAGUAAGCUUUUAAAACUGCUCAUCUUGAGGUAUGGAAGGGAAAGUGGAAUUCCUAGGGUAGCGGUGAAAUGCGCAGAUAUUAGGAGGAAUACCGGUGGCGAAGGCGACUUUCUGGCCAUAACCUGACGCUGAGGUACGAAAGCGUGGGUAGCAAACAGG
rnacentral:rRNA from 1 species